UGACAGUCUGACUUCCUCCAGUGUAAACAAGGCUUCCGCUCUGUUGUACUUUAAAACUUUGGGGCGCACCAUGUCCGAAAGAACAAUACCUUAGUUAGAAGUGGAAGGACCAGGGACAGGUUCAGGGUCAUCGACCUCCUCCUCGUCGGACUCUUCUUCAGGUGGCACAGGUGAAGUUGUGUUGUAAGCGGACGGGAAGUCGGACUGAAGUUUGUGUUCGUAUUACUGUGAGUCUUGAUGAAGUUGUGUGAAGUUUGACGUAGUGUUUUCUCAAGUGCUGGAAACUGAACGUAAGUGUUGGAAAUUGAACUUGAUGUUGUGGACAGUUAUUUAAAUUGUUGAAAAGUGACUGGAAGUGUUGGAACUAUACUAAAGUGUUGUAAAGUGAACUUGAAGUGUUGGAAACUGGCUGAAGUGUUCCUAAAUGAAUUUAAAGUGCUAGAUAGAGAGCAUAAAGAGUUAGAAACUGAGCUGAAAGUGUUGGAAACUGAAGUUAAAGUGUUGGAAACUGAACUUAAUGUGUUGGAAACUGAACUUAGAGUGCAGGAAAUUGAGUUUAAAGUGCAGGACAGUGAACUUAAAGUGUUGGAAACUGAGCUGAAAAUGUUGGAAAGUGAACUAAAGUGUUUAAAGUUGGAUGUUGAAUCGUGUUGACACUUGAGAUCUUGUGAAGAGACUGUUUAAAGUUGCGUUAAGUGUUUCUACCAAGAGUAAGUCGCGUUAAGUGGCCGUGGUAUAGUAGUGACAAGUGUGGUACUGUACCCUGACGUGUCUUGAUCUUGUCGAGAACCUGUCCAAGACGUGUGUGUGUGUGUGGGACGUGUACUGCCUGCCAGUCUCCAGUCUC
rnacentral:lncRNA from 1 species